CAUGCUCCAAAACGUCUGUUAGUCUAUAAGGUGCCACAGGAUUCUUUGCUGCUUUUACAGAUCCAGACUAACACGGCUACCCUCUGAUUGUUGAGAUGGCUUCCUUUCAGGUAAUGGGACAUUGAUCGGAGCAUCUGCAAAUGUGGUUUGUGCAGGAAUUGCAGAACAGCAUGGCUAUGGCUUCUCUUUCAUGGAGUUUUUCAGGUUGGGUUUCCCCAUGAUGAUUGUGUCCUGUACUAUUGGGAUGUGUUAUCUCCUUGUUGCUCAUGUCGUAUUGGGUUGGAACUCUUAAUAAUUUAUACUUUCAAGACCAAAAGAAGCUUUCUGUCUCGUUCAAUCUAUACAUCAGAGCACUAAGAAGACAUCAUUGAAAAGAAGAAAAAACCCACUUUAAAAAGCGACAUAUUGGUUAAAAUGAUUGGCAGUCUUAGUUUUUGUCAUUCAUAACCUUAUGCUCUGUGAACAAUUUGCAGAGCUGAGUACUGAAGUUUAAUGGAUUCAAAUUUUUUGUCAUAGUCAAUAUUAAUAAGCAUAUAAAGAGAUACCAUCACAAGGGAAUAUCUUGUGUCCUGAAACUUCGUCUCAUCA
rnacentral:lncRNA from 1 species